GGAGACAGUUAUGGGCGUGGCUAGAGCUGGAUGGAGGUUGAUUGACACUCCCCAACCCCCCACCUCCGAUCUCCAAGCGGAGUUUGUCGGCAGCAACAGGCACGGUCUCCAGAAGAAGGUGUGUGCAACCAUACCUUUAAUCCCAGAUGACCUUGAACUCAGAGAUCUCCUUAUCUUAAUCUUCUGGAAUUCAUAGCCACUAUACCUCAAGAUCUCCAUGCCAAGAUCCAGGUCAGAAACUUGUAUCUCCCAGCCUCCAGAUUAGGAUCACAGGUUUCUGUUGCUGAGAUGAAACGCCAUGACCAAGAAGCAAGUUGAGGAGGAAAGGGUUUAUUCAGCUUACACUUCCAUACUGCUGUUCAUCACCAAAAGAGGGCACCAACUGUUCUGAUCUCUUGAAGAGCUCCUCAGGCAACCUUCUGUUUCUAGCAAGAUGAUACACCCAAGCCUUGAUGACAAGGCUUGGCUCUCAACCUCCUUGCUCCCCACCUCCUGUGAAAUACACAAAGAAAUUCAGUGAUCAUCGGGGAUGCUCUGGUCCAAACACUACCUGCCAGCCAGACGCAGGAGAUGGAUGGCUCAGCAGUAAUCGUGCUGCUUGAGCUUGGUGUCUAAUGGGGACAGUAGUGACAGGAAGUUCACAGGGACUGGAAGACAUGAGUUCUCUGAGGGAAAGGAAGGUGAAGCCUGGUGCUUAGGACCCUCAGGAGACCAUAGGAUGUGAGAAGGCUCAAGACACCCAGAGGUGGGGUCAGAAACAGGGCAAAGGAGACCAAGCAUGGGAGAGCUGCAGUGGACGUGUACAGACAGGAGAAGCAGGCCCUAAAGAAUCCCUGAGGCGGCAGAGAGGCUGGGCUGUGGAACUUUUUAAUUACUUUGCAUUAGGGGACUGUAGAGACCCAGAAGCCCACCCUUCCCCUCCCCUCAUCAGCUUAGCCCCAACAUAUGGUGGCUACCAAAGUAGUUAAAUCGGCUCUUGGUAGAAAAGGAAAGAGAUUCCUCCCAGGCUCUUCCCAGGGUCCACGGCCACACUCCAGGAGGGCUCAACUCCAGGGCAAGGCAGCUGGGACAGCAGGCAGCUGAAGGAGGACUAUUACUGCACCUUAGGGAAGAGUGCAGUGGCGAGUGGGGAGGACUCUGCUGGGACCCGGGGGUCAUGUGCAUUCCCAUUUAGUUGAGCUCUGCUUAAUCCGGGCCUAGGCUCACAGUAAUGGGGAACGAGGAGAGGCUCCCAUCAGAGACCAAGAAGAUGACAGACUCUCUGUAAAGGCUGUCAGAGGGGUCUGCAUGACCAACCACACCUGCUCCUGUUCCUUUGGGGCUCUUGUGACCUCCCUGUCUUCUUGUGAGAUCUUAUGUUCCUCCAACCCUGAGAGCUACAAACCAAUCUCCGGAAUAAAAAAAUCUGUCCCUCG
rnacentral:lncRNA from 1 species